rnacentral:misc_RNA from 1 species
GGAAGGAUCAUUAACACGUAUCCAACGUUAAAUCCCCCGUGCACGUUGACGUUUACAGCCGCUGGGUUCACGCAAGACGCAUCCGCAUGGUUUACGCACGCCUGCUGUGGAGCUCGACUUCGGUCGGCUUUGGCCUGGAGCGUGUACGCCGAUUAUCGCGGGAUAUGCUUGUAGGGCCGCAGUUCGUUUCUGUGUGGAGCAAUCCAUUCCGAGAAACUUGAAGGGUACACAGUUCUCAUGUACCUGUUUUUGAGACCUCCGAAGGUUGUUGGUCGCUAUUGUCGGGUUGUGUUCAGGAGGAAGAGCCGGAAGACCGUCCGGUGACCUUGGACUGGAGUUGAGGUGAAAUGGACUCACUUGGGGGAAGAGCCGGCGACUAUCCGGUGACCUGGACCAGCACAAUCUGCUGUAGUGAUUGGCAGCCGUACAGGGGUUGAGACAGGGUGGGUUCUAAUCCAAUCGCUAUUAAUUGAAUACUCCCUAGCGACCCAAAAACAUAUGACAUUAACAUGGUUAGACUGGGGAAACCUGGGCCAUGAAAAACGAAACCCGAACAACUGUUAACAAUGGAUAUCUUGGUUCUCGCAACGAUGAAGAACGCAGCGAAAUGCGAUACGUAAUGCGAAUUGCAGAAUUCAGUGAAUCAUCGAAUCUUUGAACGCAAAUUGCGCUCUCGGGUUACCCCUGAGAGCACACCUCGCUGACUAUCGGUUUAAAACACAUAUCCCACCUUUUGGUGGUGAUAAUCGUUGAGCGUUAGGCAUGUCUCUUUCGGGAGUUGUGUCUAUCGCUUUAAAAUCAGUCAUUCUACUCAUUGAAUGGCUUUUGCAAGUUGGCUUCACUUCGGUGAAUCAGAUUUACAAGAGUCAUCCGACGGUUUUUUGUAGUGAUGGCGAACUUAGAAAAUGGUCGUAAGUAAAGACACGGAGCAUAUGCGGGCUUUGACGACUGACUUUGCGCGUCUUCGGACUAUGCAUCGUUUUGGAUGGAGAAGCAAUGCAAGCUUGGGGUCCUAGCUUACAGAAUCGAUUUCCGAGUUCUCUGGAUCGACAAACUCAGUUGGCCUUGAGGUAUAAGUUUGCUGGACGGAAAGAAAGUCGCUGAAGAACGAACGUCAAGAAAGUUGCAAUCUCACGCGAACAACUUUAGUGUUGAGAUAGGGACAUCGUGGCCGGAGUUUAUCAGCAAACCUUUGAAUUAGAUGUCAGCUGAAGUGAGGAGACCCCCUGAAUUUAAGCAUAUUAUUAAGGGGAGGAAAAGAAACUAACAAGGAUUCCCCUAGUAACGGCGAGUGAAGCGGGAAGAGCUCAAACUUGAAAUCCGCGGGUGUAACAACCUGUGGACUUGUAGCCUAGAGACGCUCUCUCAGUGCUAGACCGGUUAUAAAUCCCUUGAAACGGGGUAUCAUAGAGGGUGAGAAUCCCGUCUUUGAGCUGGAUCUGAGUGCGUACGAGGAGUGUUCCAAGAGUCGUGUUGCUUGGGAGUGCAGCACUAAAUGGGUGGUAAAGUUCAUCUAAAGCUAAAUACUGGCGAGAAACCGAUAGCGAACAAGUACCGUGAGGGAAAGAUGAAAAGAACUUUGAAAAGAGAGUUAAAAAGUACUUGAAAUUGUUAACAGGGAAGGGCAGGAAACCAGUAAUUCUUGGGUCCACUUGGAGUCGCCUAACGGUGGCUUUUACUUGGGCUUGGGACAGUCAUCAUCACUUAGAGUCGUUGGAGAAAGCGUAGAGGCACGGCGCCUUGCUCCGGCAAGGUUGCACCUUUACGUCCUACAUUGGCUCUGAGUGAGGAAGAGAACCCGCGCUCGAAAGGGCACGGCGCCUUGUCUCCUGUUUGCCCUAGCGCUUGAGAGAACAAAGUUCUGUCGGUGCGAAAGGUAGACAAUGAGGUAGGUGCGUCAGUUGCUGGGUUCGCGAUGAUGACGAAAUGGUUUUCUUCCACCCGUCUUGAAACACGGACCAAGGAGUCUAACAUAUAUGCGAGUAUUUGGGUGACAAACCCUGAUGCGCAAUGAAAGUAAAGUGGGGCAACCCAUGAGGUGGGAAUCUUACCUUCGGGUGGGAGGCACCAUCGACCGAUCGAUCGCUUGCGAAAGAUUUGAGUAAUAGCAUGUAUGUUGGGACCCGAAAGAUGGUGAUCUAUGCCUGAACAGGGUGAAGCCAGGGGAAACUCUGGUGGAAGCUCGUAGCGAUACUGACGUGCAAAUCGUUCGUCUGAUUUGGGUAUAGGGGCGAAAGACUAAUCGAACCAUCUAGUAGCUGGUUCCCUC